CACAUAUUCUUGUUAUCAAGAAUUUCUUUUAUUUACACAUCUCUCUUUAUAUAUGUAUAUAUCAUACACCUCUGUAUAUCUACAUAGUAAAGUUAGCCCUUAACUAUUUAAAAUGAGUAAUGAAUUUGACUUUGUCUUUUAAAGUUAUCAGAGCAGGGAACUGUUUUUGUUUUGUUUUUUUAAUAGAGCUGCUCUUUAUUAUCUAUAUUGUGCUGUAGUUACAAAUUAGCCCUCAGAUCUCAGUGGCGUAACCCAACAGAAGGUUUUCAGAUUAACAAAGUUUCAGGUAAACAGUUAAUUGACUUAUCCUUUGGUUAUAUAAAAUAAAGUGUGUUGAAGGCAAAACUUCGAUAGACCAAAUAGCUAUUGCCAAAGAUGUUUCUCAGAGGAGUGAAGAGUAUAAGAAGUGUGGGGUGGUCUGGUUCUUUCUGAGUGUACUGGAGAAUGUAAAGAAAGAAAAUGACAGUUUUUGAAAUUCUUGAUUUAAGGAUCAGAGCACUAGGGAGCUUAUAUAAAAAUCAUAAAGUCUCUUGUAUGGAAGAGCAAUGAUUGGGAAAGGGAGAGAUCUUUAGAAUUGGAAUAGGGACCAUUGGUAAGUUCAGAUGGCAUCACGAGGUCCCAGGAUACCCAAACAGUUCUGAACCUUCCUUGCCAUUUCUAUUAGAUGUAACUGGUCCUUCCCCAUUUGGAGACAUUGUCUUGCAAUGAAGUGUCGCUUGGUUUGUGUGUCACUUUCCCAGUUGCCCUUUGUUUCAUUAGUCUCCUUUCUUUUCCCAAAACCUGUGUUCAUUUCAUUCUCUUCAACACCUUUGCUUGCUUAUGCGCUCUGGGUAGAAUGCUGUUCUAUCAACUCUUUAUUUGACGUUGUUGUCAUUCAACUGUCAGCAUAAAUGUCACCCCUUUGGAGAUGUUUUUUCUCUCUCUGCUUAGAUUCUCUGUCAUGAAUAGUACCCCAUUUAUUUUCUUUGUAGCAGUUAUAAUAAGCUGAAAUUAUUUAUCAUUUCAUCUUACAUUUUGUAACUUCUAUAAUUUGUUUUUAAAUUCUUAUUUAUUUAUUUUGAGAGAGAGCGUGUGAGCAGGGGAGAGGCAGACAGAGGGAGAGAGAAUCCCAUGCAGGCAUUGAGCUUGUCAGUACACAGCCCAACACAGGGUUUGGUCCCAUGAGCUGCAAGAUCACAACCUGAGCAUACACUGUUAACAAAUAAUGCAUACACUGUUAAAGCUGCCCCUUUCAGUUUUAUCUUCAGAACUUAGUAGUAAGUCUUCUUUCUUACUACUUCAUCUAUGCUUUGAUGAAACUGUUGAGCCUUGUCACUGAAGAUCUAUAGUUGUCAGUGAUUGUGUAACCAGCUAUGAAUCUAUCUGGGUUCUUCUACCCAGUUUAUAGCUUUUUUUCUCUGUUCCCUAUUUGGUUCACUAGAAGAAAAUGUGCUUUUAUAAUAUUUUAUACAUGAUUUGGAUGAUUUCCCCAAAAUGAACUUGUCUACAUUGAAACCACUUUUCUCCCAUCCACAUAUUGUAGUAAAUUUUUUUUGUCAUUUUAAAAACUUCAAGUUUUUUUUUAUGUUUAUUUUUAAGAGAGAGACAGAGAGCACAAGUGGGGGAGGAGCAGAGAGAGAGGGAGACACAGAAUCUGAAGCAGGCUCCAGGCUCUGACUGUCAGCCCAGGGCCCAGUGCGAGGCUCAAACUCAAAACAAACAGUGAGAUCAUGACCUGAGCCAAAGUUGGACACUCAACUGACUGAGCUACUCAGGAGCCCCUAAAAAUUUUUUUUUUAACAUUUGUUUAUUUUUGAGAGAGAGACAGAGACACAGAAUUGGAAGCAGGCUCCAAGCUCUGAGUUGUCAGCGCAGAGCCUGAUGCAGGGCUUGAACUCAGGAAUCGUGAGGUCAUGACCUGAGCCAAAGUCGGACUCCCAACCGACUGAGACACCUAGGCACCCCUGAAAAACUUCUUUAUAUUAUUGGAAGAGGUUAGUGUUAUCUGUGAAUAACUACCAUUAUAGAUAAGAAUGUUAAAACUCUUUUUUUUUUAAUUUAUUUAUUCUUGAGAGAGAGAGUGUGCAUGAGCCCGGGAGGGGCAGAGGGGGAGAGAGAGACUCUCAUGCAGGAUCUGUACUGUCAGUGGGGAGCUAGACUCAAGGCUCGAACUCAUGAACAUGAGAUCAUGACCUGAGCCAAAAUCAGGAGUCGGAUUUUCACUGACUGAACUACCCAGGCGCCCCUGUUAAAACUAAUUCUUGAGGCACUUCACUAUUUAUACGUCCCUGUUCAGGUUAAAUAAUGUCUUGCCUUCUCACCUCUUCAAGACUCACCUUAAUUCUGUGUUCUUGAUGGGUUCUUAUGUAAUUGUCUCAGGCUGGAGUGGUCUCAGCUCUUCAGGUAGUUACUGUCUGUUUUGUUCCUUUAGUAUUUACCUUAAAAAAGGUAAGAAGAUUCAGGGCGCCUGGGUGGGUCAGUCAGUUGAGCAUCCAACUUCAGUUCAGGCCAUGAUUUCACAGUUCGUGGGCUUGAGCCCCACAUCGGGCUCUGUGCUGACAGCUCAGAGCCUUGGAACCUGCUUCGAAUUCUGUGUUUCUCUCUCUCCACUCCUCCCCCACUCAUGUUCUAUGUGUCUCUCUCAAAAAUGAAUAAACAUUUAAAAAAUUAAAAGUAAGAAGAUGGUAAAUUAUAUUCUGUAAGGAACUGUCUUCAGCCUUGUGAUAUACAGAUAAAGUAAGCACCCACAAAGUACUUACAGUCUGGCUAUUGGGUAAAAUUAUUACAGUACAAGUAAACCAUUAUGAAAAAUAAAAAUUCUAAGGAGGGAAAAUUACUUUUGGUUACAGAAGUUAAGAGCUUUGUGGAUGGGGUGAUGAAAUUGGUUUUGAAAGCUAUUUAAGAUUCGAAUGCUGAUUAAUUCUUUACCUGUCUGGUCCUGUUUGUCUUUUUCAGUCUCCUUAAAUUUCAGCCAGGUCUUCAACAUUCUAUCCAAAUCCCUUGCAUAAUCCUUUCCAGUACUCUGCUUUUAAUCAAUGCCUUGUCUCCUGAGUCUUAAGAAAACUGAAAACAUUUUAAGUGUUAGCCUCCUCAUGCCCCUCCAUCUUCUACCUCUGCCUGCCAAUUUUCUCAGUGCCAGUCAUGCUUAACUGACUCCUUCUGUCAGUGUCAGUUUGGAUUAUACCCCCUCAUUCAAGGUCAGCCUCCUUCCUUGUGCUUUUAACCUCAUCCACUCUCAUCUCUAGGACCUUAUUUUGUUUCUCUGUCUUUUCCUAUAUAUCUUAAGUUUUAGCUCUUCAGUUUACACAUAUAAUCAACUAUGCUUUGAUUCUGAUCCUUCAUGUACCUCCUAGUUUUUCUUCACUUUUUCUCCUAUUUGAGCUUCUCAAAAAAAGAGCAUAUAGUGUACAGUUAUCUCCAUUUCCUUAUUUCUUUUUUUUCAACUUUAAUUUACUUUUAAUGACAUGUAAUAUUAGAUUUUAGAGUAAAAGAAGGCAACAGUGAAACAUCUGACAAAAUGCAGUUGCAUAAUUUGGUUAAAUGUAAGAAUAGUGCCUCUUUACACUAUAGAAAAUGACCCAGCCAAUAAGCAACACAGCAUAGAUCAAAGACUAAAAUUUCACUCUUCCAGUCGUUAGGUCACUUAAUCUGUCACUACGGAUUAAAUGUUCAUAAUGAGCAUAAUUUCUGAAUCUCAAAAUACCCCAGAGAUGAAGAUAUACUAAAUAUUUCUAAGUUUAACAGAGGUUAAAAAAUUUAGUAGGUCAGAUCAAAAGCUAACAAAAACACUUAUAUUACAAAAAAAGAAGUCUUGCCACAGUUUGUGUAAUAAGUACUGUAUACCUAAGUUCAAAUUCCAACUCUACCUUUUACUAGCUUUGUGACCUUGAGCACUUAAGUUAUUUAACUUUUCAGUACUUUGGUUUCCUCAUCUGUAAAAUGGUAAUAGUACCUGUUGUAUAGAAUUGUUGUGAUUCAGUUAAUACAUGCAAACUGCUUUCAGCAAUGCCUACAACUUACUAAGCACUAUAAAGUGUUUGCCAAUAUCACUAAUUAGAACAGCAGUAUUCUGGAUGUUAAUGCUCUUGUCAAGACCAAGGAAAGAACUUUGAGUCACCAAGUUAUACUCACAUAGUAUCUAUUUCCUUAUUUUUGCUAAUUUCUUGGCCUGCUGCAAUCUGGCUUUUAUCUUUUACUACUCUAAUGAAACUGUUACUCUUAAAGUCAAUUUCAUUUUAUUGACACACUGACUAUUUGCCAAACCAGAUGGAUUAAAAACACCUGUAAAAUCAUUUGUGCUGUUUGGGGAAAUCGGAGCAUGAUUGUUUAAUAUCAAGGAGUUAAUUAUUUAUUAAUAUUUUUUCAAGUAGUGUUAUUGUGAUGUUUUUAAAAACAAUGUCUUUUAAAGAUAAUACUGAAGUUACAAGGAAAUGAUAUGUCUGGGAUUUGCUCUAAGAUAAUUGAAGUGGGUGUAUAAAUAAGAUUUCUCAUGUGUUAAUGGUUGAACAGUUGGAUGAUAAGUAUAUGGAAUUCAUUAAACUAGUCUCUCACCUUUGUAUGUGUUUGAAAUUUUCCAUUAUUAAAAGGUUUUUUUUUUUUUUUAAAUUAGAGUGCAAGCUGGGGGGUGGGGUGGGCAGAGGAUCAGAAGCGGGCUCUGUGCUGACAGCAAAGAGCCCAGUGUGGGGCUUGAACUCAUGAACCUUGAGAUCAUGACCUGAGCCGAAGUCGGGCGCUCAAUCAACUGAGCCACACAGGUGCCCCCAGAAGUUUUUUGUUUUGUUUUAUUUUUUAAUGAAUGGAAAAAGGGAGGAGGAAGAAACUAAAAGUAAUAUCAAGGAGCAAUAAUUAAUUUAUAGCUAAGUAUGGCAUAUGCAGCACUGCAAGCUUUAAUAAUAAGAGGGUAUUUUUAAGCUCAUUUUCACCAAUAAAGGAAUUGAGGCAUUGACAGUAAAAGCAUAAGUGCAAUACCUGGCAUAGAGCAGAUGCUGAAUAAGUGUCUGUUGACUGAAAAAGCUAGUUAGAACUCAGAGCUGGACUACAUAGACAACUACUUGGAUAAUUUUAAAGGCUGUACCUUUAGGAAAACCCAGUGGUUACCAGUCACCCCAUUUAUUUUCGUAAAUAAUCACAACAAAUAUUUAUAUGGCAUUUAACAUGUGCCAGGCAUUAUUCUAAGCACUUCACAUAUAUUAACCUUUUUAAUCUUUACAAUAGCCUCAUGAAAGAGGUUUACUUUCCCUGCUAUAUAGAUGAGAAAACAGGCAGAGAGACCUUCACUAACAGACUUAAGGCCACACAACAAUAGGAAAAGUAACAAAACUAUGAGUUGAUCUCAAGUAGUCAUGCUCCAGAGUCAUAUUUUUUUUUAAUGUUUAUUUUAGAGAGUGUGUGGGUGUGCAUGAGUGGGGGAGGGGCAGAGGGAGGGAGAGAGAGAGACAGACAGACAGACAGACAGACAAAGGAUCCAAAAAGUAGGCUCUGUGCUGACAGUAGAGAUUGUCAGGGCUCUAACUCCCAAACCAUAAAAUUAUGAUCUGGUCCAAAGUCAGACGCUUAACCGAACCAGCCACCCAGGCAUACCACAGUUAUAUUUUUAAUCACAAUACUAAUGUAGUCUUCCAUAUAGUAAAUAUUACAUGAUUAAUGUUAUGUUUGUGUUUACAUGAAUGAUUUCAGACAAAACUGGAUUGUCUAAUAUGUAGAUAAGUAUUCUUUUAUUGUCUCACAAUUCAGCGUUUACUUUUUAUUGAGUUAAAUUAUUCUAAGCCAUUGUGACUUUGGCUCACUUGUCUGGACCAGGAAAUGUAUAUACUCUAUUGGGUGAUUUGUUCAAAGUUGGGACCUUAGUUGUAACUUGGCAUGGUAACUUGGAAAAGUGACUCAGUGCAAGAUACUACUUUAGAUAGUUUAAGCAGAGGACUAAAAUGGGGGAAUAGUUGGAGGUAUGAGUGGAAAAUCAGAUUCAGCUAAUUUUUACUGCUGAUAAAACCAGUAUAAUUCUGAAUGUUUUUGAUAAAAUUGGUAAACAUAGGGCUUAUUUUGUAAACUGAAUGUAGAUGAAAGACUAAGAAAUCUUCCAUCUAAAAAGAUGUCUCAGUUUUCUUUCAUUAGAAGGUGACCCAAGAAGAGCUUGGCAGACUCUGAAGGCAUGUCUUUUGCAUAAAGAACUAUAAGACAUCAUUAGCCUAUAGGACACUGCUCUCAUUUUGAGUAAACAGUCUCGUAGUCAGGCAGUUUUGUUUCUGUUUUGAGUAUUUACAGGUGACUUGAAAGUGUGGAGAUAAUUGACCUUACUUUGUGCUGUUAAUUUCUGCUCUCAAUCAGAUAGUCUCAGGGAAAUUUACAUGUUCAUAUUCUUUGAUCUAGUUUUUCUUUGUUAUGAAAACAAAACUUUUUCAAAGAAAAAGCUCCUCUAAAUUUAAUUUCCUCUUUUUCUGCAUUCUUUUUUUCCUUUCUUAUUUGAACUAGCUUAAUUCCAUUCAGUUUUUUUUUUAAUUUACAUCCAAAUUAGCAUAUAGCGAAACAAUGAUUUCAAGAGUAGAUUCCUUAAUGCCCCUUACGCAUUUCGCCCAUCCCUCCUCCCACAACCCCUCCAGCAACCCUCAGUUUGUUCUCCAUAUUUAUGAGUCUCUUCUGUUUUGUCCCCUUCCCUGUUUUUAUGUUAUUUUUGUUUCCUUUCCCUUAUGUUCGUCUGUUUUGUCUCUUAAAGUCCUCAUAUGAGUGAAGUCAUAUGAUUUUUGUCUUUCUGACUAAUUUCACUUAGCAUAAUACCCUCCAGUUCCAUCCAUGUAGUUUUUAAAUAAUAUGUGUUCUAAAGAGUGAUCUCUGGUUGACUAUCAAACCUUUAUUCAUCAUCUCAAAUCUUUGGAGGAAACCUUUUUAAUAUUUAUUGAUAUUAAAUUCAGUUUGAAUGUGCACAGGUGAAAAUAGUAAAACAUUUUAUUCCUAAAAUGCCAUUCAGUAUUACUUAAAAUUUUUUAAAUGUUAUUUUUGAGAGAGACUGUGAGUGGGGGAAGGGCAGAGAGAGAGGGAGAUGCAGAAUGUGAAGCAGGUUCCAGGCUCCAAGCUGUUAGCACAGAGCCCCACGUGGAGCUCGGAGUCAGGAACUGUGAGAUCAUGACCUGAGUCGAAGUUGGACACUUAACCACCUGAUCCACCCAGGGGCCCUAAAGCUAUUUAUUUUAAACCUUUUUGUCAUUAACUUUGAAAUUGACUUCUGUAUUUGUUACUUUGAUUAAAAUAUUCAUAAAUUCAUAUCACAUAGUCCAUGUUUCUUUUUUUUUUUUUAAGUGUUUGUUUAUUUUUGAGAGAGGGUGUGAAUGUGGGAGGGGCAGAGAGAGAGGGAGACACAGAAUCUGAAGCAGGCUCCAGGAUCCAAGUCAUCAGCACAGAGCCCGACACUGGGGCUCGAACUCCCAAACCAUGAGAGCAUGACCUGAGCCGAAGUCAGACGCUUAACCGACUGAGCCACCUAGGUGCCCCACAUAGUUCAUAUUUCUUAGUCUACCAGCUAUGAUUUACCAUUUGCUUAAUUAUAUAGUGAUCCUGAACUCUAUUUUACCCAGUCUGCUGAGAAUUGCUUAUAUUCUACUUUCUUUCAGUAAAGCCUUAGAGCUGAGCCAUGAAGGCAGGGGAAAAAAGUUUUCUAGGGGCCAUGGGUGGCUCACUUGGUUAAGCAGUUAAGCAUCAGACUCUUGUUUUCAGCUCAGGUCAUGAUCCCAGGGUUGUGAGAUUGAGCCCCGCUUCAGGCUCUGUGCUGAGUGUGGAGCCUGCUUGGGAUUCUCCUCCUCUCUCUGCCCCUCCCCUGCUCAUGUGCACUUUUUCUAAAUAGAUAAAUAGACAUUAAAAAAAAAAAAAGAUUUUGAAGUCUUUUAUAGUGUGUGACUUGAACAUCUGGGUUUUGAGUUGUUACCGUGACUUGCUGUUAUAUGUCUCUCUUUUUUUUUUUUUUUUUUUUACAAAUACCUGGAUUGUCUUCUAGGUUCUAAAUAUUUGAGGGUUUUUAAUAGUAGUCUUGGGGCACCUUGGUAGCUCAGUCCGUUAAGUGUCUGCAUUUGGCUCAGGUCAUGAUCUCAUGGUUUGGUGAGUUUGAGCCCCAUGUUGGGCUCUGUGCUGACAGCUUGGAGCCUGGAGCCUGCUUCAGAUUCUGUCUUUCUCUCUCUCUCUCUCUCCAAUAAACACAAAAAUUUUAGAAGUAGUCUUAAGAAAAAGUGAGGUGCUAGACUAUCCCAUGUUGGUAUGGCAGUACUUACAAAUUUGUAGUUUUAACAGUGAAGUUCAUGACAUAGCCUACCACAAAUUUGAAUAAUUUCAUAGGUGAUAAGGAGAAGUCAGUUACUUUAGCUGGUGAAAAGGCCUAGCCAUCCAGUUAGCAGAAGUAUGAUAAAUUCUUGGAUCUCCUUCAGAAUGUUAGAGCAAAGAAUAAGGAAAAAUAUACCAAAAAAGAAAGCUUUGUGGCACAUAUACAGACAGUAAUAGCAACUGCCUAAAGGAAAUUUCAAGAGAUGUAGUAGAUAAAAAUAGAAGCAAAACUAAUGAUUGAAAAGUAGGAGAAAAUUUCCCUCACCUGAAAAAUAAAAUCUUCUGAUUGAAAGAGCAUUCUGAUUACCAAGAAGUUUAGAUGAAAUAAGAUCAACAUUUAGUCUCAACUUCUUUUGAGAAGUUUACAUUUUAAAAUUCCAGGAGUGAAAAGAAAAUUCUAAAAGCUGCUAGUUGGGGGAAAAAUUGCCUAAAAAGAAUAGGAGUGUUUUGGCAUUGGAUUUCUUAGAUAUUAGAAAGCAGUGGAGCAAUUUAUUCAAAGUUCUGAGUUCCUAAACCUAGAGUUUGAUACCAGCUAAAUGAUUGUUCAGGUGUGAGAUCAAAUUAAAGACAUUUUCAGAAAUUUAGGGAUUUUUGGGAAAUUUAUCUUCUAUAAGUUUUUGAAUAUGUAGUCAGAGAAAUGAAGUAGAAGUUAAAGCAGAUGAGAUCCGCAAAACCAAAUCUCUAAGACACCAGUGAAAAUCACAGGAUAAUAACUAUGCCUAUGGGCCUAGAAAGCAUUUGGUACAAAUUAGAGCAAGAAACCAGAAUUGUCUGUGAAGAGUCUUCAAGAAGAAAGAAAAGAAUAUAAAUUGUGUGCUGGAAUUUCUUUUCUUUUUUUCUUUUUGGAAUUUCUUAAGGUAAAAGGCAAAUCAUUAUAAGAAAAAUAGAGAUUGGGUAUGUCGUGUGACAUUAUUGAUGAUAAACCACGUUAAGCUCUGGAGCAGUCAUAAAAUCUUGAAUAAUUGGUGCUAAGUAAAAGAAGUCUUAAAUAUGCAUUCUUUUGUAAAAAAAAAAAAAUCCCAUAUUUUGGGGCGAGUUGGGGUUGGAGAGUGGUACAAAGCUUUAAAAAAGUGCAACUAAGUGUUUAAACACAACAUAACACAGGAACAUGAUCCUAGGAUUGUGGGAUUGAGCCCUGUGUUGGGCUCCAUGCUAAGUGUGGAGCCUGCUUGAGAUUUUGUCUUUCUCUGAUUCUGGCCCCUGUCCCCUCUCCAGGAAAACCUGGAGAAUGUGAUGUGUAAUGAAUGGGUUGGGUUUGAAUUUGACUUAGAAAACAUAGGAAAUCUUUAAGAGCUGUGUCUUUUCAGGCUUACACUAGCUUACACAGUGUACACAUAGGUUAAAAAAAAAAAAAAGUAUGUGGGGUGCCUGGGUGGCUCAGUCGGGUACGCUUCUGACUUUGGCUCCGGUCAUGAUCUCACGGCUCCUGAGUUCAAGCCCCAUGUUGGGCUCUGUGCCGAUAGCCCAGAACCUGUUUUGAAUCCUCUGUCCCCCUCUCUCUCUGCCUCUCUCCCACUCACACCUUUUCUUUCUCUCUAAAUAAACUAAAAAAAAAAAAAAAA